rnacentral:rRNA from 1 species
GUAGGUGGCAAGCGUUGUCCGGAAUUAUUGGGCGUAAAGCGCGCGCAGGGCGGUCCUUUAAGUCUGAUGCGAAAGCCCACGGCUCAACCGUGGAGGGUCAUUGGAAACUGGGGGACUUGAGUACAGAAGAGGAAAGCGGAAUUCCAAGUGUAGCGGUGAAAUGCGUAGAGAUUUGGAGGAACACCAGUGGCGAAGGCGGCUUUCUGGUCUGUAACUGACGCUGAGGCGCGAAAGCGUGGGGAGCAAACAGGAUUAGAUACCCUCGGUAGUCCACGCCGUAAACGAUGAGUGCUAAGUGUUAGGGGGUUUCCGCCCCUUAGUGCUGCAGCUAACGCAUUAAGCACUCCGCCUGGGGAGUACGGCCGCAAGGCUG